GAUGAACGCUGGCGGCGUGCCUAAUACAUGCAAGUCGAGCGAACGGACGAGAAGCUUGCUUCUCUGAUGUUAGCGGCGGACGGGUGAGUAACACGUGGAUAACCUACCUAUAAGACUGGGAUAACUUCGGGAAACCGGAGCUAAUACCGGAUAAUAUUUUGAACCGCAUGGUUCAAAAGUGAAAGACGGUCUUGCUGUCACUUAUAGAUGGAUCCGCGCUGCAUUAGCUAGUUGGUAAGGUAACGGCUUACCAAGGCAACGAUGCAUAGCCGACCUGAGAGGGUGAUCGGCCACACUGGAACUGAGACACGGUCCAGACUCCUACGGGGGGCAGCAGUAGGGAAUCUUCCGCAAUGGGCGAAAGCCUGACGGAGCAACGCCGCGUGAGUGAUGAAGGUCUUCGGAUCGUAAAACUCUGUUAUUAGGGAAGAACAUAUGUGUAAGUAACUGUGCACAUCUUGACGGUACCUAAUCAGAAAGCCACGGCUAACUACGUGCCAGCAGCCGCGGUAAUACGUANGUGGGGCAGCGUAUCGGAAUUAUUUGGGCGUAAGCGCGCGUAGGCGGUUUUUUAGUCUGAUGUGAAAGCCCACGGCUCAACCGUGGAGGGUCAUUGGAAACUGGAAAACUUGAGUGCAGAAGAGGAAAGUGGAAUUCCAUGUGUAGCGGUGAAAUGCGCAGAGAUAUGGAGGAACACCAGUGGCGAAGGCGACUUUCUGGUCUGUAACUGACGCUGAUGCGCGAAAGCGUGGGGAUCAAACAGGAUUAGAUACCCUGGUAGUCCACGCCGUAAACGAUGAGUGCUAAGUGUUAGGGGGUUUCCGCCCCUUAGUGCUGCAGCUAACGCAUUAAGCACUCCGCCUGGGGAGUACGACCGCAAGGUUGAAACUCAAAGGAAUUGACGGGGACCCGCACAAGCGGUGGAGCAUGUGGUUUAAUUCGAAGCAACGCGAAGAACCUUACCAAAUCUUGACAUCCUUUGACAACUCUAGAGAUAGAGCCUUCCCCUUCGGGGGACAAAGUGACAGGUGGUGCAUGGUUGUCGGCAGCUCGUGUCGUGAGAUGUUGGGUUAAGUCCCGCAACGAGCGCAACCCUUAAGCUUAGUUGCCAUCAUUAAGUUGGGCACUCUAAGUUGACUGCCGGUGACAAACCGGAGGAAGGUGGGGAUGACGUCAAAUCAUCAUGCCCCUUAUGAUUUGGGCUACACACGUGCUACAAUGGACAAUACAAAGGGCAGCGAAGCCGCGAGGUCAAGCAAAUCCCAUAAAGUUGUUCUCAGUUCGGAUUGUAGUCUGCAACUCGACUACAUGAAGCUGGAAUCGCUAGUAAUCGUAGAUCAGCAUGCUACGGUGAAUACGUUCCCGGGUCU
rnacentral:rRNA from 1 species